AGGAUUCCCCUAGUAACUGCGAGUGAAGAGGGAAAAGCUCAAAUUUGAAAUCUGGUGGUUUCUUGUGACCAUCCGAGUUGUAAUUUAGAGAAGUGUUACCCGCGCUGGACCGUGUACAAGUCUCCUCGAACGGAGCAUCAUAGAGGGUGAGAAUCCCGUAUAUGACACGGACUCCCAGGGCUUUGUGGUGCGCUCUCAACGAGUCGAGUUGUUUGGGAAUGCAGCUCUAAAUGGGUGGUAAAUUCCAUCUAAAGCUAAAUAUAGGCGAGAGACCGAUAGCGAACAAGUACCGUGAGGGAAAGAUGAAAAGAACUUUGGAAAGAGAGUUAAACAGUACGUGAAAUUGUUGAAAGGGAAACGCUUGAAGUCAGUCGCGUCUCUCAGAGAUCAACCUGGCCUUUUGCUUGGUGCACUCUCUGUGGGAUGGGUCAGCAUCAAUUUUGACUGGGGGAAAAAGUCGGUGGGGAUGUGGCACCCUCGUGGUGUGUUAUAACCUGCUUGCAUAUACCUCUGUUGGGAUUGAGGAACUCAGCACGCCUAAAGGCCGGACUUUAGUCACGUACGUGCUUAGGAUGCUGGCAUAAUGUCUUCAAUCGACCCGUCUUGAAACACGGACCAAGGAGUCUAACAUGCGCGCGAGUGUUUGGGUGAAAAACCCAAGUGCAUAAUGAAAGUGAAAGUUGAGACCUCUGUCGUGGAGGGCAUCGACGCCCGGAUCAGAUCUUUUGGGACGAUUCCGAGGUAGAGCGUGCACGUUGGGACCCGAAAGAUGGUGAACUAUGCUUGAAUAGGGUGAAGCCAGAGGAAACUCUGGUGGAGGCUCGUAGCGAUUCUGACGUGCAAAUCGAUCGUCGAAUUUGGGUAUAGGGG
rnacentral:rRNA from 1 species